rnacentral:rRNA from 1 species
UACGUAGGCAGCAAGCGUUGUUCGGAAUUACUGGGCGUAAAGGGCGCGUAGGCGGCCUACUAAGUCGGACGUGAAAUCCCUCGGCUCAACCGAGGAACUGCGUCCGAUACUGGCAGGCUGGAAUCCGGGAGAGGGAUGUGGAAUUCCAGGUGUAGCGGUGAAAUGCGUAGAUAUCUGGAGGAACACCGGUGGCGAAGGCGGCAUCCUGGACCGGUAUUGACGCUGAGGCGGCGAAAGCUAGGGGAGCAAACGGG